rnacentral:rRNA from 1 species
UACAGAGGGUGCGAGCGUUGUCCGGAAUCACUGGGCGUAAAGCGUGCGCAGGCGGCUUCGCAAGUCAGGCGUGAAAUCCCCGGGCUUAACCUGGGAAUGGCGUCUGAAACUACGGAGCUGGAGUGUGGCAGAGGGAGGUAGAAUUCCACGUGUAGCGGUGAAAUGCGUAGAUAUCGUAAGGAAGACCAGUGGCGAAGGCGGGUCUCUGGACAGUUCCUGACGCUGAGGCACGAAGGCCAGGGGAGCAAACGGG